rnacentral:rRNA from 1 species
AUGCACUACAUCUCCUUCCCAUCCUUUUUAUCUCUUUCUGCCUUAUCUACUCCCAUGCUCCCCAUCUCCGCCACCAGGCCGCUCUCCGGGAGCCACACAGCCGACGGCUCCUCUCCACCGCAUCGCCCCUGCCCACUCAUCUUUCUCCUCAGCGAUCAUGCCAUCCCCUGCAAGCUUGAACCAGCCCCCACACCUGCUCACCCCCUCCCCCACGGACGAGCGCUACGCCUCAUGGUGCGCAAGGCGGCCGGCGCAGAGAUGCAGAUGGGCGACGACGGGGAACAAGCUGCAGGACGGCGGUGCUACAACCCGCACCUGGUGGAGCUGCAACCGUUGGGCGGCGGUGCUGGAACCGCGAAGUACCGCUGCUGCUUCCCGCCGCUGCCGCCGACGGGACAAUUUGUUUUUGCUGCAACCCUCACCGGCGGAGCUGCAACCGAUGAGUUGUAG